rnacentral:rRNA from 1 species
CCCAAGAGAUCGGGAUAACACCUGGAAACAGAUGCUAAUACCGGAUAACAACAGAUGAUGCCUAUCNAACUGUUUAAAAGAUGGUUCUGCUAUCACUCUUGGAUGGACCUGCGGUGCACUAGCUAGUUGGUAGGGUAACGGCCUACCAAGGCGAUGAUGCAUAGCCGAGUUGAGAGACUGAUCGGCCACAUUGGGACUGAGACACGGCCCAAACUCCUACGGGAGGCAGCAGCC